UGCCAGCCGCCGCGGUAAUACGGAGGGUGCGAGCGUUAAUCGGAAUUACUGGGCGUAAAGGGUGCGUAGGCGGCCCAUCAAGUUAGACGUGAAAGCCCCGGGCUCAACCUGGGAAUUGCGUUUAAUACUGGUGAGCUAGAGUACGAGAGAGGAAAGUGGAAUUCCUAGUGUAGAGGUGAAAUUCGUAGAUAUUAGGAAGAACACCCGUGGCGAAGGCGGCCACCUGGACGAUCACUGACGCUGAGGUACGAAAGCGUGGGUAGCAAACAGGAUUAGAUA
rnacentral:rRNA from 1 species